rnacentral:rRNA from 1 species
AGUGAACGCUGGCGGUAGGCCUAACACAUGCAAGUCGAACGGCAGCACAGUAAGAGCUUGCUCUUACGGGUGGCGAGUGGCGGACGGGUGAGGAAUACAUCGGAAUCUACUUUUUCGUGGGGGAUAACGUAGGGAAACUUACGCCAAUACCGCAUACGACCUACGGAUGAAAGCAGGGGAUCUUCGGACCUUGCGCGAUUGAAUGAGCCGAUGUCGGAUUAGUUAGUUGGCGGGGUAAAGGCCCACCAAGGCGACGAUCCGUAGCUGGUCUGAGAGGAGGAUCAGCCACACUGGAACUGAGACAGGGACCAGACUCCUACGGGAGGCAGCAGUGGGGAAUAUUGGACAAUGGGCGCAAGCCUGAUCCAGCCAUACCGCGUGGGUGAAGAAGGCCUUCGGGUUGUAAAGACCUUUUGUUGGGAAAGAAAAGCAGCAGGUUAAUACCCAGCUGUUCUGACGGUACCCAAAGAAUAAGCACCGGCUAACUUCGUG